rnacentral:rRNA from 1 species
CCCAGACUCCUACGGGAGGCAGCAGUGGGGGAUAUUGCACAAUGGGGGGAACCCUGAUGCAGCGACGCCGCGUGGGUGAAGAAGCGCCUCGGCGCGUAAAGCCCUGUCAGCAGGGAAGAAAAUGACGGUACCUGAAGAAGAAGCCCCGGCUAACUACGUGCCAGCAGCCGCGGUAAUACGUAGGGGGCAAGCGUUAUCCGGAUUUACUGGGUGUAAAGGGGGCGCAGACGGCAAUGCAAGCCAGGAGUGAAAGCCCGGGGCCCAACCCCGGGACUGCUCUUGGAACUGCAUGGCUGGAGUACAGGAGGGGCAGGCGGAAUUCCUAGUGUAGCGGUGAAAUGCGUAGAUAUUAGGAGGAACACCAGUGGCGAAGGCGGCCUGCUGGGCUUUUACUGACGCUGAGGCUCGAAAGUGUGGGGAGCAAACAGGAUUAGAUACCCCGGUAUU